GUUUCUGUAGUGUAGUGGUUAUCACGUUUCGCCUCGCGAAAGGUCCCCGGUUCGAAACCGGGCAGAAACA